rnacentral:rRNA from 1 species
UACGUAGGGGGCAAGCGUUGUCCGGAAUCAUUGGGCGUAAAGCGCGUGUAGGCGCCAGAAAAGUCCGCUGUGAAAACUCGAGGCUCAACUUCGAGCUGUCGGUGGAAACUUUCUGGCUAGAGUCCGGAAGAGGAGAAUGGAAUUCCUGGUGUAGCGGUGAAAUGCGCAGAUAUCAGGAAGAACACCCGUGGCGAAGGCGGUUCUCUGGGACGGUACUGACGCUGGAGAACGCGAAAGCGUGGGGAGCGAACAGG